CUUGCGGGUGGGGUUACCUGCGGAGGGAUCAUUACACAAAUAUGAAGGCGGGCUGGAACCUCUCGGGGUUACAGCCUUGCUGAAUUAUUCACCCUUGUCUUUUGCGUACUUAUUGUUUCCUUGGUGGGUUCGCCCACCACUAGGACAAACAUAAACCUUUUGUAAUUGCAAUCAGCGUCAGUAACAAAUUAAUAAUUACAACUUUCAACAACGGAUCUCUUGGUUCUGGCAUCGAUGAAGAACGCAGCGAAAUGCGAUAAGUAGUGUGAAUUGCAGAAUUCAGUGAAUCAUCGAAUCUUUGAACGCACAUUGCGCCCUUUGGUAUUCCAAAGGGCAUGCCUGUUCGAGCGUCAUUUGUACCCUCAAGCUUUGCUUGGUGUUGGGCGUCUUGUCUCUAGCUUUGCUGGAGACUCGCCUUAAAGUAAUUGGCAGCCGGCCUACUGGUUUCGGAGCGCAGCACAAGUCGCACUCUCUAUCAGCAAAGGUCUAGCAUCCAUUAAGCCUUUUUUUCAACUUUUGACCUCGGAUCAGGUAGGGAUACCCGCUGAACUUAAGCAUAUCAAUAGGCGGGGAGGAA
rnacentral:rRNA from 1 species